CCGCGCGCGACUUCACGGCCGUCGGAUACUUUUCCCCGGUAUUGUCAAAUUAACGAAUUUGGCAGUAGAUUGGAAACUUAUCGUGGAUUACCGAGUUCUUUUUUUCUCUUUUGAAAACUUUUAAGAAUUUUGAGCGCUGUUCCUGUUCGAGUCGCAGGAAGGAUGUCGCAGAAUUACGAAAAAUUUAGAAGUGAAAAAUACCGACGACCACGUGGUGCUUUGAUCCUGAUCGAUUCGCGUUCUUACCUCAUGGAAUUUGACAGUGUACGUUUACGGAGAACAGAGUGAAAAAUUUUGUACUAGCCAUCGGAGAUUCGCAACUAGUGGUCGUCCAACGUCUAGGUCGGCGGCGGCUGGACCGUGUUACCUGAAGAAGCAAUCUCUGUCGCAUGGAAUAACAUUUAGGCCGGACUGCUCCACUGCAUCCUCGUUUGGCUAUAUACAUGUGUGUAUACAUACCUGCACAACUGUGUUACGCCCCCUUCCGUGGGAGUCCUGCGCCACAAGAUAUGAUCUUCUGUUUUCGUGUAAUCGGGAAGGCAGCGCCGGAGUAUCGUGGAAAAGGGAGCGGAGGAAAAGGAUACGGGAGUGUGAAAAAUAAUUUCCUGCCGUUGAUAUGUGGCGGAUCGGACGAGGAGAAAAGUCCUGGCCGGGGGAUAUCAAAAUAUUAUUCGAGGGUUACCUAGGGUAGCUCCGCAUUCUCGUGCCAUAUAGAAACCUUGCUGAGCCUAAAGUGGAUGGUUAUUGCCCUCAACCUGACCGCACACUCGCCUCGUACCUCGUGGCUGUACACGAAUUUCGUAUUUACCGCUUAAUCCUUCAUCCUUAUCCAAUUUAAUUCUAAGUAUUUCAAAUAUUCCUAAUAUAUAUAAUCAAAUAUGAAAUUGAAAGUAAUUUAAUAAUUUUAUUUCUUUUUUUUUUUUUUAAAGCGACAGAAAAGGAAUCUUUAAAAGAAUAUUUUACACGAUGCCCGAAAAUAAUAAGUCUGGUAAUGAAACGAAUUUUGUAUUUACCAUUUAAUCCUUAUCCAAUUUAAUUCUAAAUAUUUCAAAUAUUCCUAAUAUAUAUAAUCAAAUAUAAAAUUGAAAGUAAUUUAAUUAUUUUAUUUUUUUUUUUAAAGUGAUAGAGAAGGAAUCUUUAAAAGAAUAUUUUACACGAUGCCCAAAAAUAAU